rnacentral:rRNA from 15 species
AAUAUAAAUUAAGUUAGGUUUUAAUUAACUUUCAAACGUCCCUUUUCCAGAAAAUUUAACAGCAACGGGAUUUGGGUUUUUACCAAUUGAGAAUUCACGAUUAUUCGAUUGUACACGACCUUCAUUCGAUUUUUCUGGGAAUACACCAUCUUUUGGAUGUAAGUACUGUACUUCUCCACUUGGAAAAAUUCGAUAAAUUUUAUAAUCGUUUAUUUUAAAUGUUCUUAAUUGUGUACCUAAUGCUAGACAUUGUU